rnacentral:miRNA from 1 species
ACGGUGGGAAUCGAACCUACGACCUUUGGAAUACCAGCCCAUUCUGGUAUACCCAUGGGCUGGUAUUCCAAAGGUCAUAGGUUUGAUUCCCACCAUGGUCAG